rnacentral:rRNA from 1 species
AUGAAUCUUUGCGUCGUGGUCCACGGCUCAUCCGUUAUCUUCCCAAACGGUGCCCUCCGGGGAUAUUUUAAUGUUUCUGCACUGCGUCGCCAGCACCACCCCUUGCUCUCGAAGAUUCAUCUACGCCCUGCUCCUCACCCUUAUCCUCUCCUUGGCGACCAUGGCUGCUUCUUCUUCAUCAUCACAGCCAGACGAAGUGCUGCCACUGAUUCCUUGCGCCAAAUGCUUAAGGUGGUCACCUUCGUCUCUCGCAGCGGAACUCGGUACUACAAGUGCGUCAGGAAAGAUGCUGGGCUAUGCCAGUUCAUGAGAUCCACCAAGACGUACCUGCCGGAGCUGACUCGUCAUGGCCUGUUGCAGCCGUAUGUGCUGCAGGCUGCAUCACUCCCUUGCCGUCCACCCAUCCCGCCGUCUGGUCCUCUCCAGCGGAGACUAAGGCGAGAGCACAACUUCGACAACGGCGGACAGGCGGAGAUUCAGCCUGCCCAUGUAAGCAACCAGCCACCGCUGCAGCAGUCCACUGUUGCCCGCGCGGCGCCUCAAUGCUGCUUCACUGACAGCCAGCGUACGGCGCUGCUCCUGGCCAGAACCAACUUCAUCCUCGUCGUCGCCAUGCUGAAGCAGCUAAUUUAG